GACGAACGCUGGCGGCGUGCCUAAUACAUGCAAGUCGAACGAAGCUGUUUUAACUGGUGCUUGCACCGACUUAAACAACUGAGUGGCGAACGGGUGAGUAACACGUGGGUAACCUGCCCCAAAGCGGGGGAUAACAUUUGGAAACAGAUGCUAAUACCGCAUAACCACAGAAACCACAUGGUUUCUGUGUCAAAGAUGGUUUCGGCUAUCACUUUGGGAUGGACCCGCGGCGUAUUAGCUAGUUGGUAAGGUAAUGGCUUACCAAGGCAAUGAUGCGUAGCCGAACUGAGAGGUUGAGCGGCCACAUUGGGACUGAGACACGGCCCAAACUCCUACGGGAGGCAGCAGUAGGGAAUCUUCCACAAUGGACGAAAGUCUGGUGGAGCAACGCCGCGUGAGUGAAGAAGGUUUUCGGAUCGUAAAACUCUGUUGUCAAAGAAGAACGUGUGCGAGAGUAACUGCUCGUGCAGUGACGGUAUCUGGCCAGAAAGCCACGGCUAACUACGUGCCAGCCGCCGCAGUAA
rnacentral:rRNA from 1 species